UAGCGCCUCGUGAACUCAUCUUCGGGGGUAGAGCACUGUUUCGGCUAGGGGGUCAUCCCGACUUACCAACCCGAUGCAAACUACGAAUACCGAAGAAUGUUAUCACGGGAGACACACGGCGGGUGCUAACGUCCGUCGUGAAGAGGGAAACAACCCAGACCGCCAGCUAAGGUCCCAAAGUCAUGGUUAAGUGGGAAACGAUGUGGGAAGGCCCAGACAGCCAGGAUGUUGGCUUAGAAGCAGCCAUCAUUUAAAGAAAGCGUAAUAGCUCACUGGUCGAGUCGGCCUGCGCGGAAGAUGUAACGGGGCUAAACCAUG
rnacentral:rRNA from 1 species